rnacentral:rRNA from 1 species
AUAUCAGUCAUGCAUAGCAUAUCAAUAAGCGGAGGAAAAGAAACUAACAAGGAUUCCCCUAGUAACUGCGAGUGAAGCGGGAAGAGCUCAAAUUUGAAAUCUUAAAAGGUUUUCCUUUUACGAAUUGUAGUUUAAAGAAGUGUUUUCUGUUGAAAUUUUAGUAAAAGUUCUUUGGAAUAGGACAUCAUAGAGGGUGAGAAUCCCGUAUUUGACUAGAAUUUUUCAACUUUGUGAUACACUUUCAAAGAGUCGGAUUGUUUGGGAAUGCAGUCCAAAAUGGGUGGUAAAUUUCAUCUAAAGCUAAAUAUUGGCGAGAGACCGAUAGCGAACAAGUACCGUGAGGGAAAGAUGAAAAGAACUUUGAAAAGAGAGUUAAAUAGUACGUGAAAUUGUCAAAAGGGAAGCGUUUGGCACCAGUGUUGUUUUUCUAAAAAUCAAUUUAAAAUUUACUUAUGUUAAGUAUUUUAGACUUUAUCAGCUAUAUAUUUAAUUUUUUGUAAUUUUUGAAUGCGCUUUUUAGUUAACAAGUCAACAUCAAUUUCUUUUGUUGUAAAAAAAUAAGAGGAAGGUGGCUUGGAAUUUAUUUUCAAGUGUUUAUAGCCUUUUAUUUCUGCAAUAGGAGGGAUUGAGGUCUGCAGCAUAGAUCCUUCGGGGCUAGAUGCAUUUUCGCUAAGAGUCAGUAUUAUAUAAACAACUUGUUGAUUAUGUAGUAUGUUGAUUUUUACUCGGGAGUGUUAUUUUACCUACGCUUAGGAUGUUGACGCAUGAGAUAUACGC